rnacentral:rRNA from 1 species
GACGAACGCUGGCGGCGUGCUUAACACAUGCAAGUCGAACGGAGAGGCCCUGCUUUUGUGGGGUGCUCGAGUGGCGAACGGGUGAGUAACACGUGAGUAACCUGCCCUUGACUUUGGGAUAACUUCAGGAAACUGGGGCUAAUACCGGAUAGGAGCUCCUGCUGCAUGGUGGGGGUUGGAAAGUUUCGGCGGUUGGGGAUGGACUCGCGGCUUAUCAGCUUGUUGGUGGGGUAGUGGCUUACCAAGGCUUUGACGGGUAGCCGGCCUGAGAGGGUGACCGGCCACAUGGGGACUGAGAGACGGCCCAGACUCCUACGGGAGGCAGCAGUGGGGAAUAUUGCACAAUGGGCGGAAGCCUGAUGCAGCAACGCCGCGUGCGGGAUGACGGCCUUCGGGUUGUAAACCGCUUUCGCCUGUGACGAAGCGUGAGUGACGGUAAUGGGUAAAGAAGCACCGGCUAACUACGUG